rnacentral:rRNA from 1 species
AGAGUUUGAUCCUGGCUCAGAUUGAACGCUGGCGGUAUGCUUUAGACAUGCAAGUCGGACGGCAAGGCACUUCGGUGCCCUGGAGUGGCGGACGGGUGAGUAACACGUGGGAACCUACCCAAUAGUGGGGGACAGCCCAGCGAAAGCUGGAUUAAUACCGCAUACGCCCCACGGGGGAAAGCAGCAAUGCGCUAUUGGAUGGGCCCGCGUAAGAUUAGCUAGUUGGUAAGGUAAAGGCUUACCAAGGCGACGAUCUUUAGCUGGUCUGAGAGGAUGGCCAGCCACAUCGGGACUGAGACACGGCCCGGACUCCUACGGGAGGCAGCAGUCGGGAAUAUUGGACAAUGGGCGCAAGCCUGAUCCAGCAAUACCGCGUGUGUGAAGAAGGCCUGCGGGUUGUAAAGCACUUUCAGUUGGGAAGAUAAUGACGUUACCAACAGAAGAAGCACCGGCUAACUCCGUGCCAGCAGCCGCGGUAAUACGGAGGGUGCAAGCGUUAAUCGGAAUUACUGGGCGUAAAGCGUGCGUAGGCGGCCUGUUAAGUCAGAUGUGAAAGCCCCGGGCUCAACCUGGGAACUGCAUCUGAUACUGGCAGGCUAGAAUUUAGGAGAGGGGAGUGGAAUUUCCGGUGUAGCGGUGAAAUGCAUAGAGAUCGGAAGGAACAUCAGUGGCGAAGGCGGCUCCCUGGACUAAAAUUGACGCUGAGGCACGAAAGCGUGGGUAGCAAACAGGAUUAGAUACCCUGGUAGUC